rnacentral:lncRNA from 1 species
ACUUUAAUCUUAUUAUACCCAGAAAAUUAUCAAGCUACUGAGCUUUCCAGCAGCGGCCUCAUGAUUAUAUUACAUAUUUGCACAAAUUUACGCAUACACUAUGAUUUGAUUUCAAAUAAUAUGAUCAAAGAAUAGUACAUAUGAUCAAAGAAUAGUACGCAAUCAAAGAAAUAAAAUUAUUUCAGAAACAAAGAAACUAACCGGCCCAAAAGGGCGGGAAACCACAGGGUAAAAUGUGGAGAAUCACACCAGCACUCGAACAUAUAUCUUUGAACCAUAAUUG